rnacentral:rRNA from 1 species
UACGAAGGGUGCUAGCGUUGCUCGGAAUCACUGGGCGUAAAGCGCACGUAGGCGGCCUCUUAAGUCGGUGGUGAAAUCCUGGAGCUCAACUCCAGAACUGCCUUCGAUACUGAGAGUCUCGAGUCCGAGAGAGGUGAGUGGAACUGCGAGUGUAGAGGUGAAAUUCGUAGAUAUUCGCAAGAACACCAGUGGCGAAGGCGGCUCACUGGCUCGGUACUGACGCUGAGGUGCGAAAGCGUGGGGAGCAAACAGG